rnacentral:rRNA from 1 species
AGUGAACGCUGGCGGUAGGCCUAACACAUGCAAGUCGAACGGCAGCACAGUAAGAGCUUGCUCUUACGGGUGGCGAGUGGCGGACGGGUGAGGAAUACAUCGGAAUCUACUUUUUCGUGGGGGAUAACGUAGGGAAACUUACGCUAAUACCGCAUACGACCUACGGGUGAAAGCAGGGGAUCUUCGGACCUUGCGCGAUUGAAUGAGCCGAUGUCGGAUUAGCUAGUUGGCGGGGUAAAGGCCCACCAAGGCGACGAUCCGUAGCUGGUCUGAGAGGAUGAUCGGCCACACUGGAACUGAGACACGGUCCAGACUCCUACGGGAGGCAGCAGUGGGGAAUAUUGGACAAUGGGCGCAAGCCUGAUCCAGCCAUGCCGCGUGGGUGAAGAAGGCCUUCGGGUUGUAAAGCCCUUUUGUUGGGAAAGAAAAGCAGCAGGUUAAUACCCCGCUGUUCUGACGGUACCCAAAGAAUAAGCACCGGCUAACUUCGUG